rnacentral:tRNA from 1 species
GGAGUUGUGGCUUAGUGGUGAGCACUUGCCUAGUAUGCAUGAAGUACUGGGUUUGAUCCUCAGUACCA